rnacentral:tRNA from 1 species
UACCGAGUAGUAUAGUGGUUAGUAUCUCAGUCUGUCACAUUGAAGACCGGGGUUCGAUUCCCCGCUCGGGAG